rnacentral:rRNA from 1 species
UCUUGAUCUCAAAUCAGGUAGGAUUACCCGCUGAACUUAAGCAUAUCAAUAAGCGGAGGA